rnacentral:rRNA from 1 species
UACGGAGGGGGCGAGCGUUGUCCGAAGUUACUGGGCGUAAAGCGCGCGUAGGCGGGUUGCCAAGUCCGCUGUGAAAGCCCGAGGCUCAACCUCGGAGGGUCGGUGGAUACUGGCAGUCUUGAAGGUGCUAGGGGGAGAUGGAAUUACCGGUGUAGCGGUGAAAUGCGUAGAGAUCGGUAGGAACACCAGUGGCGAAGGCGGUCUCCUGGGGCAUUCUUGACGCUGAUGCGCGAAAGCUGGGGGAGCGAACGGG